rnacentral:lncRNA from 1 species
CACACACACACACACACACACACACACACACACACACAAAAGGAAAUUAAUUUAUAUGUAUUUCCAGUAUAUUCCAGUAUUUCACUAAUGUAUAUUUCUAUUUGUUUAAUUCACAAGCUUAGCAUAAGGGAAAAAAAAACAUGUAACUGUUAUAUAAUUUUACAAUAGCCUCGCGUUAUUAAGAACAAGUUACUAGUACAUAAUAAUUACAAUUGACGUGAUUGGAUGUGAAGGCGUUUUAAAAUUAGCUCUGCGGGAAUCAAUGUGCAACGCUUGUUAAUAUUAUAUAAAGCUUAUUCCUACCAUAAGGAAGCAAUAAAUAUUCCAAUGGACUUCAGAAGUCGAUUUUAUCGAUAACGAUAAGUCAUUUAUCGAAGAUGUGAAGAUAUAUGAAACUGCUGGAUGGAGUAAAAUAUGUGCUGAAAAGAACAUAUCUACCGGAAUAUUUUCUUGAUAUGCACGGAUACAAAUAAUCGAGUUUCCUAGAAAUUUUCCCAGUAUCUGUGUUAGUGCAUGACGUCGAUACGUCUUGUGCAGUGGCUGCGAAGUACGAGCGAUCUCGGAAAAAACCUGCUGGCUACUAUCGCCCACUGUCAUCUGCAUACGCAGUAAACACGUUGACAAAAAGAAAAAGAAAAAAAAGGGGGGAGGGAGAAGUGUUACUGGAACUUUGGCUAGAGUUAGUGGGACUUCGACCCAGACUUUGGACCCGGGAUCUUCCGGGAAUUCCGUCUGGGAAUAAAAUGAAAAUCGGGACGGCAAAACUCGAAGACGUUCCGACGCGGAGUGUCAGGAACGCUAAAAUUUCGCGGUGAACGCGGGUGUUUGUGCAAGUACAUCGAAGAGAAUCGACAGAUUCGGGCAGGAGUGUCAACGGUAGAAGUCUUCGUGCUUCUUAGGAAGGGAAUCGGAACACGGUCAGUCAACGGUUGCUGGCAGGCCGACUUGGGAUUUCACGUCGCUUGUCCGGCGUAAAUUUAGAUCGCUGUACGCUCGGUUUGCGAAAAUACGCCUUUCCGCUAGCGGAAGGAAGGAAGGAAGGAAGGAAGGAAGGAAGGAAGGAAAAAGGGAACAGGGUAUAAAUUAAAGAACAAUUUACAAUCGUUAAAAAAAUGAAUGAAAAGAAUGCCUCGAUAAACAAAGUGUUAUUUAUGCAAUCUUUUUAAUUUUCAAUUGCCACGUGAUGAAUGAGCGUAUAACAACGGGUACUUUCCGUUUAGUGACACCAAUCGUGACACAAGAAUCGUUUUGUCCUUGUUACUCGUUGAAUGCCAAGAAAGAUAGAACGUUUGAUUUGUCACUAAAUGAAAAGCGCCCAAUAUAACGUAAGCUGAGAAAAGCGAAGGAGCUUUCAGCCAAAUUCGAAAAUGGCGACUACCGAUCGUUGGCAUGAAUAGAGCAAUGAAGCGUGUGAUAAUAACUGACAGGUUCACUGAUAAGAAAUUUAGAUGGUGGAAUACACAAUGAGAGAAAUUAAUAACGCUGUCAUCACCAUGAUGUAUCGAAGCGACACGUUCCACUCGAUGGCACCGGGUUAGCUUUAAUUAACCCUUUGCCGAGCGUGGCGUCAGCAAUUACGACGAAAUUCCUUAGCAUCCUAGGCGAAGGAUGCUAAGUAAAUAAGAUUUUCUGCACAAUAGUUGACACUAGUAUUUGUGCAACAUAUAAUCAAUUUUUAGAGAACUAUA